GACAGAGGGUGCAAACGUUGUUCGGAAUUACUGGGCGUAAAGCGCGUGUAGGCGGCUAAGUAAGUCGGGCGUGAAAUCCCACGGCUCAACCGUGGAAGUGCACUCGAAACUGCAUAGCUAGAGUCCUGGAGAGGAAGGUGGAAUGCUUGGUGUAGAGGUGAAAUUCGUAGAUAUCAAGCGGAACACCGGUGGCGAAGGCGGCCUUCUGGACAGUGACUGACGCUGAGACGGCGAAAAGCGUGGGGAGCAACAGG
rnacentral:rRNA from 1 species